rnacentral:rRNA from 1 species
GAUGAACGCUAGCGGCAGGCUUAAUACAUGCAAGUCAAGGGGGUAGCAAUACAACCGGCGCACGGGUGAGUAACACGUACACAACAUACCAUAUACUGAGGUAUAGCUUCGGGAAACUGAAGGUAAUCCCUCAUAGUAUUGUGAAAGGGCAUCUUUUUACAAUUAAAGUUUCGACGGUAUAUGAUUGGUGUGCGUUUGAUUAGCUAGUUGGUAGGGUAACGGCCUACCAAGGCAACGAUCAAUAGCUGGCGUGAGAGCGCGACCAGCCACACUGGAACUGAGACACGGUCCAGACUCCUACGGGAGGCAGCAGUAGGGAAUAUGGACAAUGGGCGAAAGCCUGAUCCAGCCAUGCCGCGUGAUAGAUGAAGGCCCUCUGGGUUGUAAAUACCUUUUANCUGGGAAGAAACACUUCUAUUCUUAGAAGCUUGACGGUACCAGAGGAAUAAGCACCGGCUAACUCCGUG